rnacentral:rRNA from 1 species
CCCUAUGGGGUGCAGCAGGCAUAUCUCAGUAUUUGCUUGAAGUGCUGCAACACAAUACAAAUGCUGUCUCGGUAUAUAAUAAACUUGGUUUUAUAGUAAGCAGAGAAUUUAAUUAUUUUAAGCAGACUAAUACUGAAGUAAAGACCCCCGCAAAAGAUUUACCUGUAACAUUCUCAAUAAAAGAAAUCAGCAUAGACAAUGCUGAUCGCUUGGUACAAUUUUUGGAUUUUAACCCAUCGUGGCAAAACAGUUUUGAAGCAAUCCAACGAAGUUUGACUGAUUUUAAAAUUAUCGGGGCAUAUCUGAAACAAAAACUGGUAGGAGAUUGCAUUUUCGAACCCGAUUCAGGGGAUUUAACACAAAUCGCUAUUGAUAAAGCUUACAGAAGAAAAGGAAUUGGCGGGAGAGC